rnacentral:rRNA from 1 species
UACAGAGGGGGCAAGCGUUGUUCGGAAUUACUGGGCGUAAAGCGCGCGUAGGCGGCUUUGUAAGUAAGAGGUGAAAGCCCAGAGCUCAACUCUGGAAUUGCCUUUUAGACUGCAUCGCUUGAAUCAUGGAGAGGUCAGUGGAAUUCCGGAGUGUAGAGGUGAAAUUCGAUAGAUAUUCGGAAGAACACCAGUGGCGAAGGCGGCUGACUGGACAUGUAUUGACGGCUGAAGUGCGAAGCGUGGGGAGCAAACAGGA